rnacentral:rRNA from 1 species
UACGAAGGGGGCUAGCGUUGUUCGGAUUUACUGGGCGUAAAGCGCACGUAGGCGGAUCUUUAAGUCAGAGGUGAAAUCCCAAGGCUCAACCUUGGAACUGCCUUUGAUACUGGGGAUCUUGAGUCCGGGAGAGGUGAGUGGAACUGCGAGUGUAGUGGUGAAAUUCGUAGAUAUUCGCAAGAACACCAGUGGCGAAGGCGGCUCACUGGCCCGGUACUGACGCUGAGGUGCGAAAGCGUGGGGAGCAAGCAGG